AGACCAUGAUGUGGACAUUUUCUCGUUAACUCCUUCAUUCUCUCCCAAGACUCAUGAAUUUGUUCACCCGGUGUUUGGGUGAAUCCAAUGAUAGCUCUUCUCAUGGU
rnacentral:snoRNA from 1 species